rnacentral:misc_RNA from 1 species
GAUGAAGAACGUAGCGAAAUGCGAUAAGUAGUGUGAAUUGCAGAAUUCAGUGAAUCAUCGAAUCUUUGAACGCACAUUGCGCCCUUUGGUAUUCCAAAGGGCAUGCCUGUUCGAGCGUCAUUUGUACCCUCAAGCUUUGCUUGGUGUUGGGCGUCUUGUCUCUAGCUUUGCUGGAGACUCGCCUUAAAGUAAUUGGCAGCCGGCCUACUGGUUUCGGAGCGCAGCACAAGUCGCACUCUCUAUCAGCAAAGGUCUAGCAUCCACUAAGCCUUUUUUUCAACUUUUGACCUCGGAUCAGGUAGGGAUACCCGCUGAACUUAAGCAUAUCAAUAAGCGGGGA